rnacentral:rRNA from 1 species
UACGUAGGGUGCAAGCGUUAAUCGGAAUUACUGGGCGUAAAGCGUGCGCAGGCGGUGAUGUAAGACAGAUGUGAAAUCCCCGGGCUCAAUCUGGGAACUGCAUUUGUGACUGCAUCGCUGGAGUGCGGCAGAGGGGGAUGGAAUUCCGCGUGUAGCAGUGAAAUGCGUAGAUAUGCGGAGGAACACCGAUGGCGAAGGCAAUCCCCUGGGCCUGCACUGACGCUCAUGCACGAAAGCGUGGGGAGCAAACAGG